AUACGGAGGGUGCAAGCGUUGUUCGGAAUCACUGGGCGUAAAGAGUACGUAGGCGGUUUGGUAAGUCAGGUGUGAAAUCCCGAAGCUCAACUUCGGAACUGCAUCCGAUACUGCCAGACUAGAGUAAUGGAGAGGCAGGUGGAAUUCUCGGUGUAGCAGUGAAAUGCGUGGAUAUCGAGAGGAAGACCAAUGGCGAAGGCAGCCUGCUGGACAUUUACUGACGCUGAGGUACGAAGGCUAGGGGAGCGAAAGGGAGUAGAAACCCCAGUAGUCC
rnacentral:rRNA from 1 species